rnacentral:rRNA from 1 species
AUUGAACGCUGGCGGCAGGCCUAACACAUGCAAGUCGAAUGGUAACAGGAAACAGCUUGCUGUUUCGCUGACGAGUGGCGGACGGGUGAGUAAUGUCUGGGAAACUGCCUGAUGGAGGGGGAUAACUACGGGAAACGGUAGCUAAUACCGCAUAACGUCGCAAGACCAAAGAGGGGGACCUUCGGGCCUCUUGCCAUCAGAUGUGCCCAGAUGGUAUUAGCUAGUAGGUGGGGUAACGGCUCACCUAGGCGACGAUCCCUAGCUGGUCUGCGAGGAUGACCAGCCACACUGGAACUGAGACACGCUCCAGACUCCUACGGGAGGCAGCAGUGGGGAAUAUUGCACAAUGGGCGCAAGCCUGAUGCAGCCAUGCCGCGUGUAUGAAGAAGGCCUUCGGGUUGUAAAGUACUUUCAGCGGGGAGGAAGGGAGUAAAGUUAAUACCUUUGCUCAUUGACGUUACCCGCAGAAGAAGCACCGGCUAACUCCGUG